CUUUCUUUUCGGAGAGUUUGAUUCUGGCUCAGAACGAACGCUGGCGGCGUGGAUAAGACAUGCAAGUCGAACGAGAUCCUUAGCAAAGCUUGCUUUGCUAAGUCUAGUGGCGAACGGGUGAGUAACACGUGAGCAACCUGCCCAGAAGCAGGGGAUAAGCCACCGAAAGGUGGUCUAAUACCGUAUGUGAUACCAAGAGGCAUCUCUUGGAUAUUAAAGGGGGGGACCUUCGGGCCUCUCACUUCUGGAUGGGCUCGCGGCCUAUC
rnacentral:rRNA from 1 species